AUAGUUUUCACCUUAGGGGGUUCCUCCAAGGAUUAGCCAAGAUAAUACAGCAAAGCCUUGGAGCUGUAAGGCACACGUGGCCAUGUGACAUCUAUGGUAGCUAGUAUGCAGACGAAAAAAGGCAAAUAAAAGCAAAAAAUCCUAAUGUGGCAGCUGUCGUAAACAUUAGCUAAACUUAAAACCCAGCAAAAAAUAAAAAAAAGUGGAAAAAAGUAAGAAGGAAAGCAAGGAGGAGGAAAGCAGGAAGGAAAGAGGUGAAUCUACAGACAUCAGUGUGCAGAGAUGGCCCCACUCCACAGUUAAGCGCAAAGAAGCAAACUGCAGAAGACAAACUAUGGGGUGACCUCCCUAUAGUCAUUACAUUUCAUUAUGUUUAAUAUACAGAUUUGAUGUAACAUGGGUUAUACCUUCUAGAUCAUGUACAUAGUAACAUGGAUUGUGAAUAGCAAAGUGCGCUAUUGUAUUUCUGUUUUAACGGUGUUUAUCUCUGGGAAUGGGAGAAUUGAGGACUGUCUGUUUUAUUUAUUUCCCUUUGUGCUUGCAUUUUAGACAACCUCAUCCUUCAAGUCUCUGCUCCAAGGUCAUUUCCUUUACCUGGCCACCUCUUUGAAAUGUCCCCCUCCCCGACUGUCCCCCAGCCUGCCCUUUCUUCCAGCGCGGUGACACUGGUUACAUGGACACGGGCCUUCCUGACUGCCUGUCUUCUGGAGGCCAAGGACUCGACCUCUCUUCGCCGCUCUCCCCUGGCACAGGAGAGGCGCUGGCAAGCUGCCCGCAGGGUGAAUGAAGAAAUCGACUGCCUGGUCUGCAUAAGCAGCAGGACGCCUUCCACAAAAUGAAAACCCAUUAUUGCCUAAUAGGAUAAACGAGGGCAGGGUCGUCUGAAUCUUCUUUGAGUCCAUCUAAGCCUCUUACGAAAAGGAAGUAUUGCUACGAGACACUUCCAGUUCUUGGUUUUGGAGGCUAAAGAUUUUGUUCAGGUGAGGAAAAAAUAAUAUAUAUAUAUAUGUCUUUACAUUGUUUUCCAUUGCUGUGCCUGGGGUUAAGAAGGGUUUGGACACUGACAUUUAUUUUACAGAGCACAUCUGAAGAAUAAUGUUUUU
rnacentral:lncRNA from 1 species